UGUGGGAGCGAGCCUGCUCGCGAUAGCGUUGGGUCAGUCGCCAUCAGUGUUAAAGGUGAUGGCCUCAUCGCGAGCAGGCUCGCUCCCACA
rnacentral:antisense_RNA from 1 species